ACGUACACUCCUGCGGGAGGCAGCAGUGGGGAAUAUUGGACAAUGGGCGCAAGCCUGAUCCAGCCAUGCCGCGUGAGUGAUGAAGGCCCUAGGGUUGUAAAGCUCUUUCACCGGUGAAGAUAAUGACGGUAACCGGAGAAGAAGCCCCGGCUAACUUCGUGCCAGCAGCCGCGGUAAUACGAAGGGGGCUAGCGUUGUUCGGAUUUACUGGGCGUAAAGCGCACGUAGGCGGACUAUUAAGUCAGGGGUGAAAUCCCGGGGCUCAACCCCGGAACUGCCUUUGAUACUGGUAGUCUUGAGUUCGAGAGAGGUGAGUGGAAUUCCGAGUGUAGAGGUGAAAUUCGUAGAUAUUCGGAGGAACACCAGUGGCGAAGGCGGCUCACUGGCUCGAUACUGACGCUGAGGUGCGAAAGCGUGGGGAGCAAACAGGAUUAGAAACCCCAGUAGUCCCAUA
rnacentral:rRNA from 1 species